rnacentral:lncRNA from 1 species
AAGAAGAAAACCUCAUCUUGUCAUUUCGUCGUUGCUCAUUCCCGUUAGGCCGAAGUGUUUGGCGUUUCCUUCUCCGCGCCCGCUCACGCUUCGCUGACCUAUCGCGUGGUAAAGAGAAGAAAGUACGAAAGAAUAGUAAACAGAGCACACCGCAGAAAGAUUCUAAAUAUGAGAAGUCCCCCUUGGAUUCGAGAAGAAGGAAAUGAAGAAGGGGAACGAAACAAAAUAAGGCGUUUCUAGCUCUAGUUUCGGGUGAGCUUCUCGAAAUUAUGUCUGGUAAUAGAAUAGGGCGGCUUGCUCUGACCAAGACUCCACUUUUUGCUCCGUCCAUGGAGCGUAUGAAUUUCCUGGAAUGUAGAUAGACCAAAAGAGGGAAUGAAGAUAUAGGAAUAGGAAUUAUAGUACCAUUGGAAGAAGGGGCACCUAUGGGAACAUCUCUACUGACAAACCAUUUCAAUAGUACGGGUGCUGCCGUGCCACGAGGCACGACCAUGGAAGUAAUGAAAAAGAAAAAGUUAUGUAGUUGGACCAUCUGCUCUAUCCGUUCGAGUUUCGCUUCUCUAGAGAAGGUGAGACGCUAAAAAUGAAAGUGUUCGCAACGCAUACCGAAAGGGUACCAAUGAAGCCGACCAUUAAUGACUAGUUCGAACACCAGGAGCGGUCUGUCUGAUCAAAUAAGGGAUCAGACCGCUCUUAGAAAGAUGAAAGAAAAGCAAACUCUCAUAGUUCGGAGCCCAGCUCUAACUACUACUUCUUCGUAAGUGAGGUGAGGUACUUCUUUCGGUUUGAAUAGGGGUCGCCCCUUUUUGGUUUGAAGCAGCCACGGCUUUUGUCGUAGUCAGUUCAAACACAUAAACCCAGUCCACUUGCAGCCAUGUUGAUCAAAAUGACUAAGUUUCAUGACUGGACCAGUCACUCGCCCUCGUAUUAGAAGAUCAUCUCACCUUGUGGUCGACAUUCCAUUCCCCUUAGUCGUAGGUGCUCGUUCUAUUUUGAUUUGAAUGGGCCCCGAGGUACAUAUGGCCGGCCCUUCGGGUGUCUCGGUGAUACAAACAAAGAAAAGACGAAUUCCAAUCACAUCCUCUAUCACUUAAAGCCAAUCCUUACCAAAGGAGGAAAUAGAAUCGAAUAAUCUACCUUCUUUUUUCCUUCCCGUUGAUUCCCCCCGACAAUCAAGCUGCACUUCCUUAUAACAAGUGGCUGAGAGUUAGCAAGCAACCUUGGCGGAGGUUCGCUGUCCCCUUCCUUUCCGGUCCGGCCGAACCUGAACUCGAAGCUACGAUCAGAUCCGAUUGGAUCUGAUCCGUUCAGAUUCCACAUAUCCAGCCGAUUUGGUCUGGUCCUAUCCGACCCCAGAACUUAGAAUGGCCGGCGUGUUUUGGACAGUAGAACGGGAAGAGGGGGAGUCGUGCCCAUUCUCUCUCCGGGCACGAGCAGGAACAUCAAAAUGGAAGACCGAAUACAUGACGGAACGACAUAUUCAAAAAUACGUGAUCUGAUUUGAUAGGCUGCCCGCAGAAAUAGUUUACCGACCGCAUAACAAUUCAUUCUUGUGUGUAGCGCAUGGGGCCAUGUCUCCCGAACGAUCAUAGUACGGCCGCUCAUCUAAUAUCAAAUCAAUCGGUAGAUCUCACUUCCCUUCCCCCAUACCAUAGAAAAAGGGAUAGCGUAUCUACAGAAGAGAGAGUACAGGCCCUUACCUUAAUUUUGUUUAGACGCAGCUCGAAUGCCUUUACGCUAUAGGCUGUGUUAAGCAUGCUUCUUUGACAAAAAACAAACUCUUUUUCCAUGACAACAGUCGCGACUAUAAAGGGCGGGGUAGUAAGCUCUCUAUCAACAACAGGGGGGCUGUUCUCCUUUGUCAACGACACAAGCAAGGAGUUUACUUUGUCAACGCUACUAAGGACCGGGGCGAGCGGAAUUCAGUAGAGGCUCGAAGAGGGGCUUACUAAGCGAAGG